UACGAGGGGUGCAAGCGUUGCUCGGAAUUAUUGGGCGUAAAGAGCUCGUAGGCGGUGUGUCACGUCGGCCGUGAAAACCUGGGGCUUAACUCUGGGCGUGCGGUCGAUACGGGCAUCACUAGAGUUCGGCAGGGGAGACUGGAAUUCCUGGUGUAGCGGUGAAAUGCGCAGAUAUCAGGAGGAACACCGGUGGCGAAGGCGGGUCUCUGGGCCGAUACUGACGCUGAGGAGCGAAAGCAUGGGUAGCGAACAGG
rnacentral:rRNA from 1 species